rnacentral:snRNA from 1 species
GUGCUCACUUUGGCAGCACAUAUACUAAAAUUGGAAUGAUACAGAGAAAAUUAGCAUGGCCCCUGAGCAAGGAUGAAGGAUGACACACGAAUUUGUGAAGCAUUCCAUAUUAAA